UACGAAGGGGGCUAGCGUCUGCUCGGAAUCACUGGGCGUAAAGGGUGCGUAGGCGGGUCUUUAAGUCAGGGGUGAAAUCCUGGAGCUCAACUCCAGAACUGCCUUUGAUACUGAAGAUCUUGAGUCCGGGAGAGGUGAGUGGAACUGCGAGUGUAGAGGUGAAAUUCGUAGAUAUUCGGAAGAACACCAGUGGCGAAGGGCGGCUCACUGGACCGGUAUUGACGCUGAGGUGCGAAAGCGUGGGGAGCAAAGCAGG
rnacentral:rRNA from 1 species